rnacentral:rRNA from 1 species
UACAGAGACUGCGAGCGUUAUUCGGAUUCACUGGGCGUAAAGGGUGCGCAGGCGGUCGAUCAAGUCGAGUGUGAAAGCCCCCGGCUCAACUGGGGAGGGUCAUUCGAUACUGAUCGACUCGAAGGCAGGAGAGGGUAGUGGAAUUCCCGGUGUAGUGGUGAAAUGCGUAGAUAUCGGGAGGAACACCAGUGGCGAAGGCGACUACCUGGCCUGUUCUUGACGCUGAGGCGCGAAAGCUAGGGGAGCAAACGGG